GUUGGGUUAGCUCAGUCAUUAGAGCAUGAGAUUCUUAAUCUGAGGGUUGUGGUUUCGAGCCCCACGUUGGGCA